CUAAGACUGGGAUAACUCCGGGAAACCGGGGCUAAUACCGGAUAACAUUUUGAACCGCAUGGAUCGAAAUUGAAAGGCGGCUUCGUGUCACUUAUGGAUGACCCGCGUCGCAUUAGCUAGUUGGGAGGUAACGGCUCACCAAGGCAACGAUGCGUAGCCGACCUGAGAGGGGAUCGGCACACUGGGACUGAGACACCCAACUCCUACGGGGAGGCGCAGUAGGGAAUCUUCC
rnacentral:rRNA from 1 species